rnacentral:lncRNA from 1 species
GAGUUGAUUUGUGUUUUCUUUUUCAUUGUCAGGUUUGGAGUUGUGUGUCCUGCUCCCAAAAGCCGGCCACGUCCUUGUCAGAAGCGUCUGGGUUACGCCCCCCAGCCCUGAAGUUGUGGCAGAAGCAGCCAUCUCCUGGAUGGAUGUGGCAAAUGACAGGCUCAGAGGACCCAGGCGAUUGUCCUGGGAGUGAAGGAAGAUGGGAAAUCGAGAAGGAGGCGGGGGACUGCAUUCUCACACCCUGUCACCUGGGGAGGGAACCAAGGUCUCUUGUGGGUCAGCUUCCUAUUUAGCUGUCAGGCUGUAGAAUAGAAGCCUCUCUGUCACUUCUGGUGUCACCCCUUCCUGUUUCACACCCAGACCUCGAAGUCUGAUGUGGCUUUCCUCCAGUCCAGGUAGGUCCCACUCGCUAAAGCCAGGUGGCCCAGGCUCCCAGAGCUGAUGGGGGAUGUGUGUGACCAUGCACAGCGCUCUGGCCAUGUGACUUAGGUCACAGCCAGAAAGGACAUCAAUGCUCCAGUAGGUCUCUGUGGAGGAAGGAGCCGUCAACCUGCUCUCUUGCAGCUGGGACCGGUCCCCCCAGAGAAGAAGCCAGAGGAGUCUCCCCGGGGCCCCUGGGGGCAGCAGAGCUCCUAAGCUUCUUGCCGACACCUAGA